rnacentral:rRNA from 1 species
CCUCCUACGGGAGGCCACAGUGGGGAAUAUUGCACAAUGGGCGCAAGCCUGAUGCAGCGACGCCGCGUGAGGGAUGACGGCCUUCGGGUUGUAAACCUCUUUCAGCAGGGAAGAAGCGAAAGUGACGGUACCUGCAGAAGAAGCGCCGGCUAACUACGUGCCAGCAGCCGCGGUAAUACGUAGGGCGCAAGCGUUGUCCGGAAUUAUUGGGCGUAAAGAGCUCGUAGGCGGCUUGUCGCGUCGGUUGUGAAAGCCCGGGGCUUAACCCCGGGUCUGCAGUCGAUACGGGCAGGCUAGAGUUCGGUAGGGGAGAUCGGAAUUCCUGGUGUAGCGGUGAAAUGCGCAGAUAUCAGGAGGAACACCGGUGGCGAAGGCGGAUCUCUGGGCCGAUACUGACGCUGAGGAGCGAAAGCGUGGGGAGCGAACAGGAUUAGAUACCCUGGUAGUCCACGCCGUAAACGGUGGGCACUAGGUGUGGGCAACAUUCCACGUUGUCCGUGCCGCAGCUAACGCAUUAAGUGCCCCGCCUGGGGAGUACGGCCGCA